rnacentral:rRNA from 1 species
CCUACGGGAGGCAGCAGUGGGGAAUAUUGGACAAUGGGGGGAACCCUGAUCCAGCCAUGCCGCGUGUGUGAAGAAGGCCUUAUGGUUGUAAAGCACUUUAAGCGAGGAGGAGGCUCUUCUAGUUAAUACCUAGGAUGAGUGGACGUUACUCGCAGAAUAAGCACCGGCUAACUCUGUGCCAGCAGCCGCGGUAAUACAGAGGGUGCGAGCGUUAAUCGGAUUUACUGGGCGUAAAGCGUGCGUAGGCGGCUUUUUAAGUCGGAUGUGAAAUCCCCGAGCUUAACUUGGGAAUUGCAUUCGAUACUGGGAAGCUAGAGUAUGGGAGAGGAUGGUAGAAUUCCAGGUGUAGCGGUGAAAUGCGUAGAGAUCUGGAGGAAUACCGAUGGCGAAGGCAGCCAUCUGGCCUAAUACUGACGCUGAGGUACGAAAGCAUGGGGAGCAAACAGGAUUAGAUACCCUGGUAGUCCAUGCCGUAAACGAUGUCUACUAGCCGUUGGGGCCUUUGAGGCUUUAGUGGCGCNGCACGCGAUAAGUAGACCGCCGUGGGAGGUACGGUCGCGAGAACGUAAACGUUAAAGUAGUAAGUUAGUACGGCGUGAGACGUUAGCGACGGACGACGACGAGGGGAGGUAGG